rnacentral:rRNA from 1 species
AGCAGUCGCCGCGGGAAUACGAAGGGGGCUAGCGUUGUUCGGAUUUACUGGGCGUAAAGGGCGCGUAGGCGGACUGAUAAGUCAGGGGUGAGAUCCCAAGGCUCAACCUUGGAACUGCCUUUGAUACUGUUUGUCUUGAGUUCGAGAGAGGUAAGUGGAACUGCGAGUGUAGAGGUGAAAUUCGUAGAUAUUCGCAAGAACACCAGUGGCGAAGGCGGCUUACUGGCUCGAAACUGACGCUGAGGCGCGAAAGCGUGGGGAGCAAACAGGAUUAGAUACCCCAGUAGUCCCUGUCUCUUAUAC